rnacentral:tRNA from 1 species
GGGAUUGAAGUGUUAGCGGCAGCAUUCCCGGUUCUUACCCGGCGAGGUGAGGGUUCAAGUCCCUCCGAUCCCA